rnacentral:rRNA from 1 species
CGUAGGGUGCUAACGUUGUUCGGAAUCACUGGGCAUAAAGAGCGCGUAGGCAGUCUGCUAAGUCAGGUGUGAAAUCCCCCGGCUCAACCGGGGAACGUGCACCUGAUACUGUUGGGCUUGAGUGCAGGAGGGGAGGAGCGGAAUUCCUGGUGGAGCGGUGAAAUGCGUAGAUAUCAGGAGGAACGCCGGCGGCGAAAGCGGCUCUCUGGUCUGUUACUGACGCUGAGGCGCGAAAGCUAGGGGAGCAAACGGGAUUAGAUACCCCGGUAGUCCUAGCCCUAAACGAUGGGUACUAAGUAGAGGAAAUUCCGAUAUUUUCUCUGCCGGAGCUAAUGUAUUAAGUACCCCGCCUGGGGAGUAUGGUCGCAAGGCUA